CUCUGGGAUAAGCCUGGGAAACUGGGUCUAAUACCGGAUAUGACUGCUCCGCGCAUGCGGUGGUGGUGGAAAGCUUUUGCGGUUUUGGAUGGACUCGCGGCCUAUCAGCUUGUUGGUGGGGUAAUGGCCUACCAAGGCGACGACGGGUAGCCGGCCUGAGAGGGUGACCGGCCACACUGGGACUGAGACACGGCCCAGACUCCUACGGGAGGCAGCAGUGGGGAAUAUUGCACAAUGGGCGGAAGCCUGAUGCAGCGACGCCGCGUGAGGGAUGACGGCCUUCGGGUUGUAAACCUCUUUCAGUAGGGAAGAAGCUUUCGGGUGACGGUACCUGCAGAAGAAGCGCCGGCUAACUACGUGCCAGCAGCCGCGGUAAUACGUAGGGCGCAAGCGUUAUCCGGAAUUAUUGGGCGUAAAGAGCUCGUAGGCGGUUUGUCGCGUCUGCUGUGAAAGACCGGGGCUCAACUCCGGUUCUGCAGUGGGUACGGGCAGACUAGAGUGAUGUAGGGGAGACUGGAAUUCCUGGUGUAGCGGUGAAAUGCGCAGAUAUCAGGAGGAACACCGAUGGCGAAGGCAGGUCUCUGGGCAUUAACUGACGCUAAGGAGCGAAAGCAUGGGGAGCGAACAGGAUUAGAUACCCUGGUAGUCCAUGCCGUAAACGUUGGGCACUAGGUGUGGGGGACAUUCCACGUUUUCCGCGCCGUAGCUAACGCAUUAAGUGCCCCGCCCGGGGGAGUACGGCCGCAGGGCUAAAACUCAAAGGAAUUGACGGGGGCC
rnacentral:rRNA from 1 species